rnacentral:rRNA from 1 species
GAUGAACGCUGGCGGCGUGCCUAAUACAUGCAAGUCGAGCGAACAGAUAAGGAGCUUGCUCCUUUGACGUUAGCGGCGGACGGGUGAGUAACACGUGGGUAACCUACCUAUAAGACUGGGAUAACUUCGGGAAACCGGAGCUAAUACCGGAUAAUAUUUCGAACCGCAUGGUUCGAUAGUGAAAGAUGGUUUUGCUAUCACUUAUAGAUGGACCCGCGCCGCAUUAGCUAGUUGGUAAGGUAACGGCUUACCAAGGCGACGAUACGUAGCCGACCUGAGAGGGUGAUCGGCCACACUGGAACUGAGACACGGUCCAGACUCCUACGGGAGGCAGCAGUAGGGAAUCUUCCGCAAUGGGCGAAAGCCUGACGGAGCAACGCCGCGUGAGUGAUGAAGGUCUUCGGAUCGUAAAACUCUGUUAUUAGGGAAGAACAUACGUGUAAGUAACUGUGCACGUCUUGACGGUACCUAAUCAGAAAGCCACGGCUAACUACGUG